rnacentral:rRNA from 1 species
GGAAUGGUUUUUGAUCAAAAUCUAUAUGGCCUUUGGAUUGGACUGCGUCCGAUCAGGCUGUUGGUGAGGUAAUGGCCCACCAAACCUGUAACCGGUACGGGCUCUGAGAGGAGGAGCCCGGAGAUGGGUACUGAGACAAGGACCCAGGCCCUAUGGGGCGCAGCAGGCGCGAAACCUCUGCAAUAGGCGAAAGCCUGACAGGGUUACUCUGAGUGACUUUCGCUAAGAAAGUCUUUUGACACCUCUAAAAAUGGUGUAGAAUAAGGGGUGGGCAAGUCUGGUGUCAGCCGCCGCGGUAAUACCAGCACCCCGAGUGGUCGGGACGAUUAUUGGGCCUAAAGCAUCCGUAGCCGGUUUUACAAGUCCUCCGUUAAAUCCAGCUGCUUAACAGAUGGGCUGCGGAGGAUACUAUAAGACUAGGAGGCAGGAGAGGCAAGCGGUACUCAGUGGGUAGGGGUAAAAUCCGUUGAUCCAUUGAAGACCACCAGUGGCGAAGGCGGCUUGCCAGAAUGCGCUCGACGGUGAGGGAUGAAAGCUGGGGGAGCAAACCGGAUUAGAUACCCGGGUAGUCCCAGCUGUAAACGAUGCAGACUCGGUGAUGGACUAGCUUUAUGCUAGUCCAGUGCCGCAGGGAAGCCGUUAAGUCUGCCGCCUGGGUAGUACGGUCGCAAGACUGAAACUUAAAGGAAUUGGCGGGGGAGC